AUGGAAUCUUUCGGGGAGGAGCUUCUGCGUGCGAUCCUGGUGAAGCUGCCGACCAGGGACCUCGCCCGGUGCUCCUGCGUCUCCCGGCAAUGGCGCACCGUCGUCGGCGAGCCCUCCUUCCGCAGGCUCCACGCCAGCGCCACCCACGUCGUCUCCGGCCCACCGGAGACACUGGCCGUCACGGAGAUCCGCGGGAUGCGCAUACGCCUAGAGGCGGUGGUCCUCAACGUCGCGUCCAAAAAGACAAUGUGCCGCAUCACCGACCUCGCCGGGGGGUACGGCCCCACCAACGCCUGCAACGGUUUCCUGUGCUUCGCAGCCAACGCACAGGACUGGCAUGUGUGCGUCUGCAACCCUGUCACCGGAGAUAAGAUCAAGAUCGCGCCGCCGCCAGAGAACAAGGACGUCGGCUCGCGCAUGUAUGCCAUGGGGUUCAGCGCGUUAACCAAGCAGUACAAGCUGUUCCGACUCUCCUUCCACCACCGGGAUCACUCCGGCCACUACCUGGACGUGUACACUUUAGGCGGCCACGACGGGUGGCGCCGGAACCCACAUCUACUCCCAUGUCGCGCGAGGUACAACUGUGAGUUCCCGCCACCGGUGCUCAUCGAUGGCAAGUUGUACGUCUUAGGUGAACCGGCAGAGUAUCGCCAGGCGUCAGAUAAGAUAAUAGUGAUCGAUGUGGACAGCGAGACGCACUGCGUACAUCACCUUCCUGAGGAGUUUACCGGGGCGGUCAUUGCGGCGAUGCACGCCUUCAACCUGAGCGGGCAGCUAUGCAUCGCUAUGCGCCUUGCCGGCCAGCAGCGGCUACGCUUCUGGGUCAUGCCACCGCUGCUGGGAAUGAGCCUGUUUGGCGACUGGGAACUGCGCUACACCUUCGACAUGAGUGUCGACGAUGAUGGCAGGGAGGACAAAUCAAGGGGCGCCUGGUUUGAUGACGGUGACGGGAUGUUGUGUUACAGGCUACAUGACCAUCUCUACCAAUACGACACCACCAACAACAAGGAGGAGGUCGAUGGUUCCAUGCAAUGGGACCACGAUAUACAGUUGCCAGAGGUUCCACCGCAAGAGAAGCAACGAUGGAACGUCUACAGUGGUUACUGUCCCAGCCUCGUCUCGCCUCGUCUCGCAUUCGCCUCCCCCAUGACAUCACCGGGUCACAUCGAUGAACAAGAACUCUUCGAAAAGGCGUUGGUGCACGCUCUGCGACGCAAGAAAACAUUGAACUUGAAGAAACCAUUUCCUACAAAUGUUGGCCUGCCCGAUUGCACUGGUGACGACGUGUUGCCAAAAGGAUUUGCGAGCCAAAACAGUAAUCAAUCAACAUGA
rnacentral:rRNA from 1 species